rnacentral:rRNA from 1 species
CAGUCGCCGCGGGAAUACAGAGGGUGCGAGCGUUAAUCGGAUUUACUGGGCGUAAAGCGUGCGUAGGCGGCUUUUUAAGUCGGAUGUGAAAUCCCUGAGCUUAACUUAGGAAUUGCAUUCUAUACUGGGAAGCUAGAGUAUGGGAGAGGAUGGUAGAAUUCCAGGUGUAGCGGUGAAAUGCGUAGAGAUCUGGAGGAAUACCGAUGGCGAAGGCAGCCAUCUGGCCUAAUACUGACGCUGAGGUACGAAAGCAUGGGGAGCAAACAGGAUUAGAUACCCCGGUAGUCCCUGUCUCUUAUAA